rnacentral:rRNA from 1 species
GACGAACGCUGGCGGCGUGCUUAACACAUGCAAGUCGAACGGAAAGGCCCUGCUUUUGUGGGGUGCUCGAGUGGCGAACGGGUGAGUAACACGUGAGUAACCUGCCCUUGACUUUGGGAUAACUUCAGGAAACUGGGGCUAAUACCGGAUAGGAGCUCCUGCUGCAUGGUGGGGGUUGGAAAGUUUCGGCGGUUGGGGAUGGACUCGCGGCUUAUCAGCUUGUUGGUGGGGUAGUGGCUGACCAAGGCUUUGACGGGUAGCCGGCCUGAGAGGGUGACCGGCCACAUGGGGACUGAGAUACGGCCCAGACUCCUACGGGAGGCAGCAGUGGGGAAUAUUGCACAAUGGGCGGAAGCCUGAUGCAGCAACGCCGCGUGCGGGAUGACGGCCUUCGGGUUGUAAACCGCUUUCGCCUGUGACGAAGCGUGAGUGACGGUAAUGGGUAAAGAAGCACCGGCUAACUACGUG